rnacentral:rRNA from 1 species
UACGAAGGGUGCAAGCGUUACUCGGAAUUACUGGGCGUAAAGCGUGCGUAGGUGGUGAGUUAAGUCUGUCGUGAAAGCCCCGGGCUCAACCUGGGAAUGGCGAUGGAUACUGGCUCGCUAGAGUGCGGUAGAGGAGAGUGGAAUUCCAGGUGUAGCGGUGAAAUGCGUAGAUAUCUGGAGGAACACCGGUGGCGAAGGCGACAUCCUGGACCGGUAUUGACGCUGAGGCGCGAAAGCCAGGGGAGCAAACGGG